rnacentral:rRNA from 1 species
UACGUAGGGGGCAAGCGUUGUCCGGAUUUAUUGGGCGUAAAGAGCGUGUAGGCGGCCAAGCAGGUCCGCUGUGAAAACUCGAGGCUCAACCUCGAGACGUCGGUGGAAACCGCUUGGCUAGAGUCCGGAAGAGGAGAGUGGAAUUCCCGGUGUAGCGGUGAAAUGCGCAGAUAUCGGGAAGAACACCCGUGGCGAAGGCGGCUCUCUGGGACGGUACUGACGCUGAGACGCGAAAGCGUGGGGAGCGAACAGG